rnacentral:tRNA from 1 species
GCCUGGGUGGCUCAGUGGUUGAGCAUCUGCCUUUGGCUCAGGUCCUGGGAUCAAGUCCCAUAUCAGGCU